rnacentral:lncRNA from 1 species
UACCCUCACAAAGUUAUGAAAUAUUAUAAAUACCCUUUGAAUUUUUAAAAUUUCACAAAUACCUCUCUAACAAUAUUUCUUUCAUAAAUAUCCUCACCGUUAUUUUUUGCUAACUUCCGUCAACAUAGCAUUUUUUAUUUUAUUUCAAAAUAUAAAAUUACCAUUUUACCCUUAUUUUUUGUUUAAAAAUCAAACUUUUGUCACUUAUUUUUUGAUAUUUAUACUAAAACUAUC